GACGAACGCUGGCGGCGUGCUUAACACAUGCAAGUCGAACGGAAAGGCCCUGCUUUUGUGGGGUGCUCGAGUGGCGAACGGGUGAGUAACACGUGAGUAACCUGCCCUUGACUUUGGGAUAACUUCAGGAAACUGGGGCUAAUACCGGAUAGGAGCUCCUGCUGCAUGGUGGGGGUUGGAAAGUUUCGGCGGUUGGGGAUGGACUCGCGGCUUAUCAGCUUGUUGGUGGGGUAGUGGCUUACCAAGGCUUUGACGGGUAGCCGGCCUGAGAGGGUGACCGGCCACAUUGGGACUGAGAUACGGCCCAGACUCCUACGGGAGGCAGCAGUGGGGAAUAUUGCACAAUGGGCGGAAGCCUGAUGCAGCAACGCCGCGUGCGGGAUGACGGCCUUCGGGUUGUAAACCGCUUUCGCCUGUGACGAAGCGUGAGUGACGGUAAUGGGUAAAGAAGCACCGGCUAACUACGUGCCUGCAGCCGCGGUGAUACGUAGGGUGCGAGCGUUGUCCGGAUUUAUUGGGCGUAAAGGGCUCGUAGGUGGUUGAUCGCGUCGGAAGUGUAAUCUUGGGGCUUAACCCUGAGCGUGCUUUCGAUACGGGUUGACUUGAGGAAGGUAGGGGAGAAUGGAAUUCCUGGUGGAGCGGUGGAAUGCGCAGAUAUCAGGAGGAACACCAGUGGCGAAGGCGGUUCUCUGGGCCUUUCCUGACGCUGAGGAGCGAAAGCGUGGGGAGCGAACAGGCUUAGAUACCCUGGUAGUCCACGCUGUAAACGGUGGGUACUAGGUGUGGGGUCCAUUCCACGGGUUCCGUGCCGUAGCUAACGCUUUAAGUACCCCGCCUGGGGAGUACGGCAGCAAGGCUAAAACUCAAAGGAAUUGACGGGGCCCCGCACAAGCGGCGGAGCAUGCGGAUUAAUUCGAUGCAACGCGUAGAACCUUACCUGGGUUUGACAUGGAUCGGGAGUGCUCAGAGAUGGGUGUGCCUCUUUUGGGGUCGGUUCACAGGUGGUGCAUGGCUGUCGUCAGCUCGUGUCGUGAGAUGUUGGGUUAAGUCCCGCAACGAGCGCAACCCUUGUUCACUGUUGCCAGCACGUUAUGGUGGGGACUCAGUGGAGACCGCCGGGGUCAACUCGGAGGAAGGUGGGGAUGACGUCAAGUCAUCAUGCCCCUUAUGUCCAGGGCUUCACGCAUGCUACAAUGGCUGGUACAGAGAGUGGCGAGCCUGUGAGGGCGAGCGAAUCUCGGAAAGCCGGUCUCAGUUCGGAUUGGGGUCUGCAACUCGACCUCAUGAAGUCGGAGUCGCUAGUAAUCGCAGAUCAGCAACGCUGCGGUGAAUACGUUCCCGGGGCU
rnacentral:rRNA from 1 species